rnacentral:ribozyme from 13 species
GGAGAGAGGUAAAAGAGAGAGAAGAAGAGAAAGGAAUAGAGAGGUUUCCAUGAACACAUGUCCCUUCUUCUUCUUCUUCUUCUUCUUGUCCUUCUUCUUGUU